GAUUUAUAAAGAAGUGGCGAGAGACAGGCUCAUUGACCCACUGGCAACCCUCCCUAACGGAGAAGGUGCCAAUUCCUGACCAGAUAACAUGGUGUUGUUUGGAAAUAUAAAUU
rnacentral:ncRNA from 2 species